AAUAUGUCGGCAGAGCAUUAGUUGUCGGCUGAGUGUUUGUCGUCUACAGUAGCAGCUAUACGUAAAUUGAUUUGCUAAAUAAUUAUCAUAAUAAGAUGUACGUCAUACGUAAAUCGAUUUGUAUAUUCGGGGGGCGGAGCUUCUAGAGCAUGCGCAAUCUCGAGGGUAACACGCACCUUUCGCCGAUCUUGCUGUACACAAAGUCCACGUUUCCGGGUCUGCUUCUGAACCGUAGAUCAUCUUGCCGUUGACUAGGCUUUAGACGCGUAGGAAGCCAUUUCUUGAGUACGGCUUCUCGAGGGUAAGAGACUGCUGUUCACGCUGAAGUCGUCUGAUUCACACUCUGAACAGAUGCACGUGGAGUGGAAAGACAGACUACUCAUUGCUUAGUGAUGGAAGUUUUGUCAGAUGAAGAUUUUGUGGUAGGGGAACCCAUUCGGGGUAACCGAACGUGCCGCACUGUCACUGUCUGUGUGGCUGAAACUAGGACUACUUUUCCCCCAUCUAGCGAACUACUCGAACUGUGGAACUGUGAAACUAUGUAUCUUGUCGAACUAGAGUCAGCAAAAGUUUGUCUAGCGUAUCCAACUCGUCAUGGAAGGCGAGAAAUUGUCUUGGCUGCUUUCAGUCGAACUCCACACUGUAUCAAGUACAUUUCUCUACACAAAACCUGUGUAAGACUUGAUUUUAUCAUGAGAAUGCCUUUCCUUGCAACCCAGACUCUGCAGAUGCAAGGUCUUGCUCGAGAACUCUGAUCUUGCUUUGAAGUUCCACUAUUUCAUUUGCUUGCUGUUCAAUUAUCGGACGUAAACCAUCAGCUUUAGCGCCUCAGUGACAUUUUUGACAACUAACAUCUUCAAUUUUGAGAUCACUACUAUAUACAUGUCUUGAUCAACUGCAGAUGAGGUAGAACAGCCUCUGCUUUCUGAUUUAGACAUUACAGCUAUGGAAUAGUGCGUAUGUGUUGUGUUACUUUAGACAUAAACUGUUGCUGGGACUUGUAGACUGCAGAGCUAAUUGUAAACAGACUACAGAGUACGUGUACUGUACUCUGGUCCGCGUCAGUGUACCUAUCGAGUGCAAGUUAUCACAGUAAGAACUUCGACUUGGCCAAUCACACAUAUACAGAAGCAAGCUAGACUGCCCAGAAACAACGCGGAACGCCUACAUGUCUGGUUACUUGAAAUGGGUUCCCAGGUGGCAUGAUUUCACUUGCCAAAACUAAUUCAUCUCUAGGCAAUGAGUAGUCUGUGCUUCCACUCCACGUAUAUCUGUUCAGAAUGUG